UGCGGCUUAAUUUGACUCAACACGGGAAACCUCACCCGGCCCGGACACGGACAGGAUUGACAGAUUGAUAGCUCUUUCUCGAUUCCGUGGGUGGUGGUGCAUGGCCGUUCUUAGUUGGUGGAGCGAUUUGUCUGGUUAAUUCCGAUAACGAACGAGACUCUGGCAUGCUAACUAGUUACGCGACCCCCGAGCGGUCGGCGUCCCCCAACUUCUUAGAGGGACAAGUGGCGUUCAGCCACCCGAGAUUGAGCAAUAACAGGUCUGUGAUGCCCUUAGAUGUCCGGGGCUGCACGCGCGCUACACUGACUGGCUCAGCGUGUGCCUACCCUACGCCGGCAGGCGCGGGUAACCCGUUGAACCCCAUUCGUGAUGGGGAUCGGGGAUUGCAAUUAUUCCCCAUGAACGAGGAAUUCCCAGUAAGUGCGGGUCAUAAGCUUGCGUUGAUUAAGUCCCUGCCCUUUGUACACACCGCCCGUCGCUACUACCGAUUGGAUGGUUUAGUGAGGCCCUCGGAUCGGCCCCGCCGGGGUCGGCCCACGGCCCUGGCGGAGCGCUGAGAAGACGGUCGAACUUGACUAUCU
rnacentral:rRNA from 1 species